rnacentral:rRNA from 1 species
UACGGAGAGUGCAAACGUUGUUCGGAUUCACUGGGCGUAAAGGGCACGUAGGCGGCUCGGCAAAUCAGUCGUGGAAUCCCGUCGCUUACCGGCGGAACGGCGGCUGAAAAUACCGGGCUUGAGGGCGUGAGGGGUCACUGGAACUCUUGGUGAAGCGGUGAAAUGCGUAGAUAUCAAGAGGAACGCCGGGGGCGAAAGCGAGUGACUGGCGCGUUCCUGACGCUGAGGUGCGAAAGCUAGGGGAGCAAACAGG